rnacentral:rRNA from 1 species
ACGGUAGCUAAUACCGCAUAACGUCGCAAGACCAAAGAGGGGGACCUUCGGGCCUCUUGCCAUCGGAUGUGCCCAGAUGGGAUUAGCUAGUAGGUGGGGUAAAGGCUCACCUAGGCGACGAUCCCUAGCUGGUCUGAGAGGAUGACCAGCCACACUGGAACUGAGACACGGUCCAGACUCCUACGGGAGGCAGCAGUGGGGAAUAUUGCACAAUGGGCGCAAGCCUGAUGCAGCCAUGCCGCGUGUAUGAAGAAGGCCUUCGGGUUGUAAAGUACUUUCAGCGGGGAGGAAGGGAGUAAAGUUAAUACCUUUGCUCAUUGACGUUACCCGCAGAAGAAGCACCGGCUAACUCCGUGCCAGCAGCCGCGGUAAUACGGAGGGUGCAAGCGUUAAUCGGAA